CCGGAACCGGCGCACCGGGGUGAGUAACACGUAUGCAACCUGGCCGUCACAGGUGGAUAACCGGAAGAAAUUCCGACUAAUACAGCAUAACACUCCUGAGGGACAUCCUUCGGGAGUCAAAGGAGGCAACUCCGGUGACGGAUGGGCAUGCGGCGCAUUAGGUAGUUGGUAGGGUAACGGCCUACCAAGCCGACGAUGCGUAGGGGUUCUGAGAGGAAGGUACCCCCACACUGGUACUGAGACACGGACCAGACUCCUACGGGAGGCAGCAG
rnacentral:rRNA from 1 species